UCUUUUGUGGUAUUUCUGGAUCCUUUCCAAGGCAGUAAUGGUAUAUGCCUUCUCUCAAAGUAUGUGGUAUUUUUGGUGUGAGGCAUAGUGAUAUUGCCUUCUCUCUCACCCUACUCUAAUAAGGUUUUGAUAUCUGGAGCUCAUAGGUGGGAGACAGAUAAUACAUACUUACAAGACAUUUAAUGCAUAGUCAAACCAUGGAUCCAGAGAAAAAAGUCAAUAAGUUAAAUCAAGAUGUGCAUGUGUGGCGAAUGAAUGGUGUAUGGUGAUGUUGGUGAUAACAAUGGUGAAAGUCUAAUUCUACUUUUGUUGUUUUUAGGGGAUACAUACCUUUCUUGCACUUUAAAGCUUUUUGAGGAGAAAGAGAUGCUCUAUAUUUUCUUUUUCUUUCCUCUCAGGUGGGU
rnacentral:lncRNA from 1 species